CGAAGAUUGACUAUUCCUGCCCUUAAAAGGAUUAACUCUACUUCUGUUAGUGUUUCAGAAGAAAGAUGGUUAAUAAGCCCAGGUCACACUACACAACGAUAACGAUACGAUAACUUGUAUACGCGCGCUGAUUGGUCAAAAAUUUAUCGUUAUCGUCCGGCUGAAAAAAAAAUCGCUCAGGUGAGCGAUUUUAAAAUCGUUAUCGUUAUCGUCUAACGAUAAUUUUAUCAUUUUCGUUGUUGUGUGGACACUAACACAAUUUUUUUGACA